UACAGAGGUCCCAAGCGUUGUUCGGAUUCAUUGGGCGUAAAGGGUGCGUAGGCGGUGAUGUAAGUUGGAUGUGAAAUCCCCAGGGCUUAACCCUGGAACUGCAUUCAAUACUGCGUUGCUAGAGUACUGGAGAGGAGAUUGGAAUUCACGGUGUAGCAGUGAAAUGCGUAGAGAUCGUAAGGAAGACCAGUGGCGAAGGCGAGUUUCUGGACGGUAACUGACGCUGAGGCACGAAGGCCAGGGGAGCAAACGGG
rnacentral:rRNA from 1 species